ensembl:lncRNA
UCUGUAAAAUAUCUUCCGUGUAGCUCAGACAAAAGGAAAAGAACUCGGGCUUCCCUCGGAUCCAUCAGGACCAGUAGCCCUUUACAUUCAAGGCUCGCUAAAUCUUUAGGCAGCUUGCACGUAACGGCCUGUGAAAAGGAUCAGGUGUUUUCUGGCUCAGUGGCCAACAGUAAUUUCAUCAAGCAGUCGAACUUAAAGCACUUAAGCCCAGUGAACAGUCAGCCGCACGCGGCCCAGAGAUCACUGCAGCUCUAUGGCCUCGGCUCAACCAUCUCUGUCCCGAAGAAGGAAAGUGCUUCACACAAUGCCAUCGGUGCGCUUUCACAGACCAUGUAACUCGAUGUCCAAAGCUCGAGCUCCUCUCCUCCGCUGAAACUGGAUCCAGUACAGACCAGCAUCACUCCAGUUUACUGCUUCAUGGGUUUGUCUAAGUGAUCUGCUACUAUAAACCACAUUCAGACUGUGUGUUGGGAAAUCGGCAGAUGUUAAGCAUUUUUAUUUGAUCAAGAGAAAGCAAUGCAUUUUAUUUUUUAAAUCGGAGAGCUUUAAGCAUAAGUGAAGUUUGACUUUUUAUGCCAUUGUAAAUAUCAUGAUUGUCAGAAGCUGUCUUUGCCAUUAUGCAUUGUUACUAAAUCUGUAAUAUUGUUUGUUUGUUUUUUUUAAAUACUGUAUCUAGUACUUUAUUAAUACUUACAGAAAUGUGAAUCACACUGUGCUAAUCAUGACUGAAAGCUGUAUAUAGGCUGGAGUUUGAUUUUUUUUUUUUUUAUUAAUUUUUUUUACUGUAAAUAGUACUGCAUACCUUUAUUUUGAUGACCAAAUAUAAAUCAUGAUUAUUUCACGUAUAUAUAUAUAUAUGAUAGGAAAGGUUUUGAGUCAUAUCCCUUUUAAUAAAUCCUUUCUGCUAUUGCA